CGUAGACGUCGCCCAAGGAUGAGGCCGCGACCGAUCAGGUUGUUGGUGAGGUAAUGGCUCACCAAGCCUUUUACCGGUGCGGGCCGUGAGAGCGGGAGCCCGGAGAUGGGCACUGAGACAAGGGCCCAGGCCCUACGGGGCGCAGCAGUCGCGAAAACUUUGCAAUACACGAAAGUGUGACAGGGCUAUCCCGAGUGCCAUCCGCUGAGGAAGGCUUUUACCCAGUCUAGAACGCUGGGGGAAUAAGGAGAGGGCAAGUCUGGUGUCAGCCGUCGCGGUAAUACCAGCUCUCCGAGUGGUGUGGAUGUUUAUUGGGCCUAAAGCAUCCGUAGCUGGCUAAGUUAGUCCCUUGUUAAAUCCACCGAAUUAAUCGUUGGAUUGCGGGGGAUACUGCUUGGCUAGGGGACGAGAGAGGCAGACGGUAUUUCCGGGGUAGGGGUGAAAUCCUAUAAUCCCGGGAAGACCACCAGUGGCGAAGGCUGUCUGCUAGAACGCGCCCGACGGUGAGGGAUGAAAGCUGGGGGAGCGAACCGGAUUAGAUACCCGGGUAGUCCCAGCUGUAAACGAUGCAGGCUAGGUGUUUGGACGGCCACGUGCCGUUCUAGUGCCGCAGGGAAGCUGUUAAGCCUGCCGCCUGGGGAGUACGAUCGCAAGAUUGAAACUUAAAGGAAUUGGCGGGGGAGCAC
rnacentral:rRNA from 1 species